UGCCUGUAUCACGGAGCUCAAAGGUGAAGGAGUACUUGAUACCCUGAUCAUAAGCCCAGUCAUCAGAGCCACCAGCAGCAAGAUCUGCAUUGGGAGAGAAGAAAACGUGACUAGAAAAGGACAGGUCACUGGCGCAUGUUCGCACAUUUGCAGAACCGGAACUGUUGCAUCCACACCUUCAGGACAGUGAAGUAAAGGGGACUACUUGCGAAGAAAAGUACUACUCAACAAGAGUAAAGAUAUCACAGUCUACAUCAUUAGGAGAGAGCUACUAUAUUUAGAGGAAUAAAACCAUUUCAUACAUUACUGAAGUAAGCCAUCCU